CUCAGGCAAGCAGCACAGUUACAAAAAUUGAGGAAAAAGCAUAGCCACUGAAUGAUAACUGUUUCUAAUUUGCUUAUACAAAAUGAACUGAAAUUUAGCAGCUGGUAAAGAGGCUCUAGAGUUUUUUCUUACCAAAGACAUAAAUCUUCCAUGUUGUCUUCAAUAACUUCAUAUUGAAAAAACUUUGUUAUCAGCCACAACUUUCUAGAUAGGCAAGAUUCACAGGCCUUCUGCGUAAGGACAGAAAUUAUUCAUAUGAACCAGUUUUAGUUAAUCAUUUACCUUUUUAAGAUUUGCAAUUUUAUAACAGAAUUGCUACAAAAGCAACAUUCUCUGAAAAUAAAACACUUAAUAAUUUACAACUGUUUUAACUGUGCAAGAAUUUCUCUAAACAUUUGGAGAACCUAGAACAACACUUUCUUGUUAACCUCUAACUACUCACUGUUCAUGUGGUUGGUCUAGUAUCAAAAUAACAGCUCCUAGUUUCCAGGACUUUAACCCCAACUAUAAUCCUAAAUAACAAUAUCCAGGGGGAUCAGAAGCUCAAGAUUCCUAGAAAAUUAAUGGGAAAUGAGUCACAGCUGCAGGUGGCAUUUCCCAGAUCAUAUCUUCCAGCCCAUCUGAAUUAAUUAAAUUCACUUUAACAGCUACAUUAGUUUUACAGAAGCUAUUUUCCAUAAUUGUAACCCUGCCAUAAAUUUAUUCUUCAAAGGAGCAAGCUGCUUCCAACUCUCUGAAACAUCCAGGCUUCAUCAUCCUGGAACCAUCCUGCAAAAAUUUGCACCAGAGAGUAGAUCCAUGUUCUGACUGCGAUCACGGGAAACCUUCCUUUUGCUCCCAUUUGAAGAGUUUUCAGCUGGAAGAGUGCAUAUCAAGUGAAGUGACUCAGAUGUGCAUGCUGUAUUGGAGUAGCAAGGGCCAACAGCAGAGUGCAGGAAAACAGCUCCCAGAAAAGUUGGGCCUGAGAAAGAAAGCAGAGCAGGUCUGGAGAACAUGGCCAGAUCCAAAUGAGCCUACAUAUUCAGGUGAUUCCAAGGGGACAACAGUGCCAAGGCCAGGCCAGCCUGUGGGUGAAGGUGCACUAACGCAGUCUCCUGAGCAGCAUACCUAA
rnacentral:lncRNA from 1 species